rnacentral:lncRNA from 10 species
UGGGGCCGGAGGCUUCAGCUCUGGCUUGACCAGGCUCUGGCGGCCUCAGUCUCUCCAUCCCUAGGGCAGGGCGUUGAGCCAGCUCCCGGGUCAGCCCCCAUCUGCUGCUGCCUCCCUCUUUUUCCCCCCGCUGCCUGCACAAUCCCAGAGGAGGGGUGAGGACGUCAAGAGGCUGAGACCGGCAGGGGAGACCUCCACGGAGGGGUGGGGCUGGCCAAAGGUGCCCCUGGGGAAGCAAACAACCCUGCCUACCUCCCCCUCCAGGCAGCCCCAGCCGAUCGAUCCUGUAGUUGCCCAAUGGGUAUUGACCGAGGGCCUGAGGGUCAGGGUCGCUGGUCCAGAAGAGGCCGGGCAGAGGGAGGCCUGCCCCAUCCCCCACACGCUCCCUCACCUAACCCAAAAGGAGGUCCACACGUGCCCACUGUGGGACCUCACCAAACUUGUUCCAUCAUCUGAAAAGUGGGGAGAAUAGGAGGAUUUACCUCCUGGGUUUAUUAGGAAGAUUUAAGGAGCUAACCCUGGAAAAUGCUGGAGGAGGCUGUUCUCCGAAGUUCCCUUAUCUGCUAGAAACUGGACCCCAAAGAGGAACACGAUUGCUUUCGAUCCCUUCCCUGAAAUUUCAUUAACUGGAGAUUAAAAUUCAUAUCACAGAGGAAGAGAAAAUUAAACACCACAUCUAGAGUCCAGACAAACUUUGUCCCAAAUGAGUGUUUCUUCUUCGGUCCCACUCAAUUUCCAAAGAAAAUCAUCUGUAAGAUAAUGUCUGCCUCCCAGGCCCAUUAAUGCCUCCUAACAGUCAUUCACUCCUACAGCCCCGUCUCCCCUUCCCCAGCGAAGAAGCGGAUAUAAACAUCUGGACCUCAAUGGAUAACUGGGUAAUCAUUCUCCUAUGAUUCCCCUGUGCUAGGCAUGUUAAAUACAUUUUUUAUGCUUUU